CGGCCUCCCAAAGUGCUGGGAUUACAGGCAUGAGCCACCACGCCCAGCCACAAAUGUGCUUUUUAACAGUGGCCUUCUAUAGACAAUAGACUCAGCUUCAUUUUCUUAUCUGGGGUAGGGGGACUCCCCAGAUGGCCAUCAAAAGAUGUAUCUUAAGCCAGUGACUCAUUGAAGCUCCUAUUCCAGAACUUUGCAUGGUCACUCUAACUGCACCAUUGAGUGGGCCCUGUUCUGUACAGGUGAGCUCACCCACAUUGGCCAACUCUGAUCAAAGAUCAAUAAGCAACCAAGAACUGGUUACUGCUUAAACUUAUAACAAGCAAGUAUUCUAAAUCCUCUUCUCUCACACAACUAAAGCUUUGGAUAAGACUGCUCCUUGAAGAAGACAGUCUAACAGAACCAACAGAGGGUGUCUAGCCAUCAAAGAACCAACCAAUGGGCCAUCCCUUCAAAGCGGAUUAAUUCAAACUCAUUCUCCAAUGCCAGGGACCCCUUCCAAGUGUCUCCAUAGAAGUAGCCCUCGCAGUCACCUGUGGCCUCUUGGGAGUUUCUCAGGAUGUCACAGAAGGUUCACAGACUUGGGCCAAAUAUUACUCCAUUCAGUUUAGUUCAUCUCUAUUGAACCCUGCAGCACACCAAGCCCUGGGCCCUGGCAGGGCACACGGAGUUGAAUGUGGCUUGUCCCUGCUCUUAAGGACCUCAGGCCAGUGGGGCAGGUGUCACAUUGAACAAAUAUACUUACUCUCACAAAGACAUAGAUUAUGAUGGGAGAAAGGAAGGGACUGGGAGAGUGUGGAGGGAAAUGGGUCUGGCUUUAGUUCUCCCUCUCUGGUCCUAAAAGGGAGGUCCAAAAUUAAAUUCACUUGGAAACGUGUGGGCUAAAGUUAACUUUUGCACUCUCUGGAGAGGUGUUUUCUAAAAACAUUUAAAGCAAAACAUUUUCAAAAU
rnacentral:lncRNA from 10 species